rnacentral:rRNA from 1 species
AUGGUAAAAUCACUCCAAAAGGAUCUGAAUUCCAUUGCUGAGAGGGUGGAGGGUUCGAACCGAUGGUGGUACAAGUUCAUAUUGACCGAGACCAUGUUUUCCUUACGCCGUCACCAGCAUUGCUGCAUCUCUUCAUGCUUAUCAGUUGUCACGACAAACAUGGAGGGUUCUUGGAAGGAGCAUUUUGACAGGAUUUCUGCAGAGGAGAGGAGCAAAUUUGAUGAAGAAACACUUUCAAACUCGGACGGGGUCAAACAAAAGAAAACCUACUCCAUGAAAACAGAUGGCAGCAGAAACGAGUACAUAGUGGUAACCAUUCUCGUUGCUGCUAAUGGAACAAUAAACCUCCCCGUGGCUAUCAAAAGCCCUGCAGAUCUGGAAGCAGUAGUGGCAAGGCUUAACUCUAUGCCUGCAAGUGAACUAAGGGGUGUUCGAGUCAUGUGGACCCCUCAAGAUGCGGAUGACGUUCUCUCGGAAGAGAGGAUGCGGAAGGAUUACCCAUACCUGAAGCCCCUUGCGUGA